rnacentral:lncRNA from 1 species
GUCUACGUCAUAGGAUGUGUUUUUAUGUCGAUAUUUUGGAAAGAUUCUAAAUAAUCGAUCAAUGGAAGUUGAGUACACUGUAGAUGUGUAAGAUACAUUCUGGUUCUAAUGGUAGUUACAGAAUUGAUUGUUAUACCAUCAAAUACCGUGACAUUAUACUGCAAAGAUAAUUUCACCAUAGUCUUUGCUAAGGAGCUUAGGUCUCACCAG